rnacentral:rRNA from 1 species
GAUGACCGCUGGCGGCGGGCUUAACAAAUGCAAGCCGAACGGAAGGGUCCUGCUUUUGUGGGGUGCUCGAGUGGCGAACGGGUGGGUAACACGUGAGUAACCUGCCCUUGCCUUUGGGAUAACUUCAGGAAACUGGGGCUAAUACCCAAUAGGAGCUGCUGCUGCAUGGUGGGGGUGGUAAAGUGUCGGCGGUUGGGGAUGGACUCGCGGCUUAUCAGCUUGUUGGUGGGGUAGUGGCUUACCAAGGCGUUGACGGAUAGCCGGCCUGAGAGGGGGACCGGACACAUUGGGACGGAGCCAAGGCGCAGAAGCAGUAGGGAGGAAUGGGCGGUGAUUAUAGGACAGUGCCAGGAAGGCUGAUGGAACAAAGCAGGCUUCGUGAGUAGGGACUUGGGGUUUUAUGCGGAUAAAGCCUGCGACGGAGCGUGAGUGACGGUAACGGGUAAAUAAGCAACGGCUAACUACGUG